rnacentral:tRNA from 1 species
GUGGGCGUAGCUCAGUUGGUAGAGUCCUGGGUUGUGAUCCCAGUUGUCGCGGGUUCGAGCCCCGUCGCUCACCCUCCA